rnacentral:tRNA from 1 species
CGGGGCGUGGCUCAGGCUGGUUAGAGCGCACGGUUCGGGACCGUGAAGUCGGAGGUUCAAAUCCUCUCGCCCCGACCA